GGGGACAGGGUUAUUAUUGAUUAGGCUGAUAUUGAACCCAGGUCUGGGGGGAGGAGACAGGGUUAUUAUUGAUUAGGCUGAUAUUGAACCCAGGUCUGGGGGGAGGGGACAGGGUUAUUAUUGAUUAGGCUGAUAUUGAACCCAGGUCUGGGGGGAGGAGACAGGGUUAUUAUUGAUUAGGCUGAUAUUGAACCCAGGUCUGGGGGAGGAGACAGGGUUAUUAUUGAUUAGGCUGAUAUUGAUAUUGAACCCAGGUCUGGGGGAAGGAGACAGGGUUAUUAUUGAUUAGGCUGAUAUUGAACCCAGGUCUGGGGGGAGGGGACAGGGUUAUUAUUGAUUAGGCUGGUAUUGAUAUUGAACCCAGGUCUGGGGGAGGAGACAGGGUUAUUAUUGAUUAGGCUGAUAUUGAACCCAGGUCUGGGGGGAGGGGACAGGGUUAUUAUUGAUUUGGCUGGUGUUGAUAUUGAACCCAGGUCUGGGGGAGGAGACAGGGUUAUUAUUGAUUAGGCUGGUAUUGAUAUUGAACCCAGGUCUGGGGGAGGAGACAGGGUUAUUAUUGAUUAGGCUGAUAUUGAACCCAGGUCUGGGGGGAGGGGACAGGGUUAUUAUUGAUUAGGCUGGUAUUGAUAUUGAACCCAGGUCUGGGGGAGGAGACAGGGUUAUUAUUGAUUAGGCUGAUAUUGAACCCAGGUCUGGGGGGAGGGGACAGGGUUAUUAUUGAUUAGGCUGGUAUUGAUAUUG